GGUAUCUACUAUAAACACACCUGAUGUUUCAGCAUUUUUCAUCGAUUUUUUAGCAAAUGGCGAGUUUGAUGAAAUGGUAUCGAAUACACCGAGACGGGUCUAUUACAAUGAUUUAUUAUUCGAAGAAGAAAACAUUUCCGCAGUCGAAGUUAGUAUGGUAAAAUAUAAUAUUAUUGUAGCACAUACGUUAUAUGCUGUUAUAGACUAGAAACAAUGUCAAACAUUUAUCGAGGGAUUGUGUUAAUCACCAACAAAUAAAUGAUAAACCAGACGAUAUCGACUGAUGGACUGGCAAAGAUUCGGAUGCUAUAUGUCUUGAAGCAAUCGAAAGAUAUAUUUGAGGUGAAGGAUUUGUGGACGACGAAAGGUUAUUACUAGAAGCAUGCAAUGAA